rnacentral:rRNA from 1 species
GUAGGCGGUCUGUCGCGUCGAAUGUGAAAACCCGGGGCUCAACUCCGGGCUUGCAUUCGAUACGGGCAGGCUAGAGUUCGGUAGGGGAGUCUGGAAUUCCUGGUGUAGCGGUGAAAUGCGCAGAUAUCAGGAGGAACACCGGUGGCGAAGGCGGGACUCUGGGCCGAUACUGACGCUGAGGAGCGAAAGCGUGGGGAGCGAACAGGAUUAGAUACCCUGGUAGUCCACGCCGUAAACGUUGGGCGCUAGGUGUGGGGGUCCUUCCACGAUCUCCGUGCCGCAGCUAACGCAUUAAGCGCCCCGACUGGGGAGUACGGCCGAAAGGCUAAAACUCAAAGGAAUAGACGGGGGCCCGCACAAGCGGCGGAGCAUGCGGAUUAAUUCGAUGCGACGCGAAGAACCUUACCAAGGCUUGACAUGCACGGGAAAGUUCCAGAGAUGGUUCCCCCGCAAGGUCCGUGCACAGGUGGUGCAUGGUUGUCGUCAGCUCGUGUCGUGAGAUGUUGGGGUAAGUCCCGCAACGAGCGCAACCCUUGUCUUAUGUUGCCAGCACGUGAUGGUGGGGACUCAUAAGAGACUGCCGGGGUCAACUCGGAGGAAGGUGGGGAUGACGUCAAAUCAUCAUGCCCCUUAUGUCUUGGGCUUCACGCAUGCUACAAUGGCCUGUACAAAGGGCUGCGAAACCGUGAGGUGGAGCGAAUCCCAAAAAGCCGGUCUCAGUUCGGAUUGGGGUCUGCAACUCGACCCCAUGAAGUCGGAGUCGCUAGUAAUCGCAGAUCAGCAACG